rnacentral:rRNA from 1 species
UACGUAGGUGGCGAGCGUUGUCCGGAUUUACUGGGCGUAAAGAGCGCGCAGGCGGUCGUGCAAGUCGCGUGUGAAAGCCCCCGGCUCAACUGGGGAGGGUCACGCGAUACUGCUCGACUCGAAGGCAGGAGAGGGAAGUGGAAUUCCCGGUGUAGUGGUGAAAUGCGUAGAUAUCUGGAGGAACACCGGUGGCGAAGGCGGCAUCCUGGACCGGCAUUGACGCUGAGGCGCGAAAGCCAGGGGAGCAAACGGG